rnacentral:tRNA from 1 species
GGUGGUGUAGCUCAGUGGUAGAGUGCUUGCCUAGCAUGUGUGAGGCACUGGGUUCAAUCCUCAGCACCAUAU